UUACCGUUGCCAGAGAUCUGGUCACCGCCGCCACUCGAGGUGGUUGCUGGGGCUGCCGGCAAACCGGCUCAGCUAUCGCCACUGUUUCGUUUUCUUAGUUUGGUUGGGUCCUGAUGAUUGCGUGUCGCAUAGGUGUUGCUGUGACUGCUGUGCCGUUCCUUUUAUUUCUGAAUUAGUAUCCGAGCUUAUAUACGUGGCGUUGAGGCUGUUUCUGCUAUUGAAAAAAUAAGCAGAGCUGGGAUGUUAGUUGUUGGUUUCGGGCCGAGACGAAAGGCUUUCCUGUGACGCGUUUGGUUCAUGUAUUCGACGAGCCAAGGUUAUUCCUUUUCAGGAUAUGGAAGACAAAGCUUCAGGAGAGUUAUGUUUAUUUUUUUCUGUUUAUUCGGUCUUUUUGUUUCACCG